GAUGAACGCUGGCGGCGUGCCUAAUACAUGCAAGUCGAACGCAUAGCGAAAGGUGCUUGCACCUUUCAAGUGAGUGGCGAACUGGUGAGUAACACGUGGACAACCUGCUGCAAGGCUGGGGAUAACAUUUGGAAACAGAUGCUAUUACCGAUUAAAACUUAGUGUCGCAUGACACAAAGUUAAAAGGCGCUUCGGCGUCACCUAGAGAUGGAUCCGCGGUGCAUUAGUUAGUUGGUGGGGUAAAGGCCUACCAAGGCAAUGAUGCAUAGCCGAGUUGAGAGACUGAUCGGCCACACUGGGACUGAGACACGGCCCAAACUCCUACGGGAGGCUGCAGUAGGGAAUCUUCCACAAUGGGCGAAAGCCUGAUGGAGCAACGCCGCGUGUGGGAUGAAGGCUUUCGGGUCGUAAAGCACUGUUGUAUGGGAAGAACAGCUAGAAUAGGAAAUGAGUGUAGUUUGACGGUACCGUACCAGAAAGGGACGGCUAAAUACGUG
rnacentral:rRNA from 1 species